GACGAACGCUGGCGGCGUGGAUUAGGCAUGCAAGUCGGACGGUAGGGCUUUAUCGUAAGAUAGAGUUUGAGAGUGGCGAACGGGUGAGUAACACGUAGGAAUCUACCCUUAAGACGGGGACAACCCAGGGAAACUUGGGCUAAUACCGGAUGAGAGUGCGAGAGAUUGCAUUUAAAAGGAUGGCGAAAGUUGUCGCUUAGGGAUGAGCCUGCGGUCUAUUAGUUAGUUGGUGAGGUAAGAGCUCACCAAGGCGAUGAUAGAUAGGCGGCCUUAACGGGUGGUCGCCCACACUGGGAUUGAGAUACGGCCCAGACUCCUACGGGAGCAGCAGUCGAGAAUAGUCUACAAUGGCCGGAAGGCUGAUAGUGCGACGCCGCGUGAACGAGGGAGCCCUUCGGGGUGUAAAGUUCUUUUCUAUACGAGCAGUGCUAUAUAUAUGGUAUAGUAUAUAUAGAGGGAUAGUAGUAUAGGAUAAGCAACGGCUAACUCGUGCAGCAGACCG
rnacentral:rRNA from 1 species